rnacentral:rRNA from 13 species
CGCGGUAAUUCCAGCUCCAAUAGCGUAUAUUAAUGUUGCUGCUGUUAAAGGGUUCGUAGUUGGACUCGGAGCGGGAAGAUUCGCGCCGGAGAGGCGCGCUCCCUCCCGCUCUGUCACAGAUGGGGCCGCGUCCCGCCGGCUCCUUCGCUGGUGCCGGCACUCGCAAGAGAUCGCGUCGCCAGACGCCCGGACCGCCCAUCGUUUUCACCGUGAAUAAAACAGCGUGUUCAAGGCAGCCGUUCGGCCGCAUGACAAAGCAUGGAAUGACAGAGCAUCAGCCAGCUGGUUGUGCUUUUGUUGGUUUUACUCUCCAGUUGGGUAACUCGCUCCCGCGCCGCGGCUUGCCGCGGGCGGGCUGCAUAGGAUUAACGGGGGUUUUUGCGGGGAGAAGCGUACUCCGGCGUGAGAGGUGAAAUUCUUAGACCGCCGGAAGACGAACUUGUGCGAAGGCACUUCUCAAGUAUACCUUCAUCAAUCAAGAACUAAAGUGUGGAGAUCGAAGAUGAUUAGAUACCAUUGUAGUCCACGACUGCAAACGAUGACGCCCAUGGAUCGGACAGAGUUCUACUCCGAUGGGAUCUUUUCGGCACUGCUCCCCUUCAACGCGAAAGCUGAGGCUAUGGUCUCAUGGGGAAGUACGUUCGCAAGGCUGAAACUUAAAGAAAUUGACGGAAUGGCACCACCAGACGUGGAGUGUGCGGUUUAAUUUGACUCAACACGGGAAACCUUACCAGAACAGGACAACGGAAUGAUUGACAGAUUGAGAGCUCUUUC